AUUGAACGCUGGCGGCAUGCCUUACACAUGCAAGUCGAACGGUAACAGGUCUUCGGAUGCUGACGAGUGGCGAGCGGGUGAGUAAUACAUCGGAACGUGCCCGAUCGUGGGGGAUAACGCAGCGAAAGCUGUGCUAAUACCGCAUACGAUCUACGGAUGAAAGCGGGGGAUCGCAAGACCUCGCGCGGACGGAGCGGCCGAUGGCAGAUUAGGUAGUUGGUGGGAUAAAAGCUUACCAAGCCGACGAUCUGUAGCUGGUCUGAGAGGACGACCAGCCACACCGGGACUGAGACACGGCCCAGACUCCUACGGGAGGCAGCAGUGGGGAAUUUUGGACAAUGGGGGAAACCCUGAUCCAGCCAUGCCGCGUGCAGGAUGAAGGCCUUCGGGUUGUAAACUGCUUUUGUACGGAACGAAAAGGUCCUUUCUAAUAAAGAGGGCUCAUGACGGUACCGUAAGAAUAAGCACCGGCUAACUACGUGCCAGCAGCCGCGGUAAUACGUAGGGUGCGAGCGUUAAUCGGAAUUACUGGGCGUAAAGCGUGCGCAGGCGGUUAUAUAAGACAGAUGUGAAAUCCCCGGGCUUAACCUGGGAACUGCAUUAGUGACUGUAUAGCUGGAGUGCGGCAGAGGGGGAUGGAAUUCCGCGUGUAGCAGUGAAAUGCGUAG
rnacentral:rRNA from 1 species